CAAUAUGGCGGCGUUGAAACAGACAGCUUCUGAGCUUUUCAUACUAACAGGGAAGAGAAAAAGUUGAUGAUGAAAAUGAUGAAGUUACUAGUGACAGCAAAAUAACAGAUGAGGAGUUUAACGAGAGCUUUGCUGAUAAUCAUUGAAUUGUGAAAUUUACAUCAAAAAGUGUUGAUAGAAAAUAUGUGUUUCAUUUACCCGACACAUUCCCAGAGACUCAAAGUAUCUUGAGGUACGUUAUUCUGCUUGUCAUCCUGUCCCUCCCCCACCUCCUCUGGUCUCUCGUACAGCUGUGUGUUUGGUACCAAUACAACAAGGUUAGGACACACAGUCAGUGUAUGUACAUGUACAUGUUUGUCCUUUUAUGUUUUGCCAAAGUUUA